UUCAGGUGGAUACACCUAAAGCUAUCGCUGG
rnacentral:piRNA from 1 species